CCCUGGCUGAGUUGGGUUCAAUGGGGUCUGCUACUACUUGUCAAAUGAUUCCAGCACCUGGGAGCAGGGUCAGGAAUGGUGCUCCGUGCUCGGGGCCUCCCUGGCUGUUCCCAAGAGUAAAGAUGUGGAUUUGGAAUGGCAAUUACUGGCUUGGGAUGCGCCAACGAGCUGAGAGUCUGCUGUGGGGGGGCAGCAGCAGCGACAGCUACAGCAACAGCUACUCGGCUGCUAUCACUGACACUUUCGAGUGUAUCUACUUGGCUUCCAAGAGCUUCUUCCGUGAUUCCUGCUCAGAUCAUCGGCUGCAUCUCUGCAGCAAGGCCUAAGCUCCCCUGUAACAAGGGCUGCAGAAAGGACCUUCUCCACACUGGGCAAUGCCAGCUUCACCUCUCAGCCCAGCACAGGGCUGUCCUUCCUCAGCUGCACCAUGUGCCUUGCACUUCCUCUCAGGGUCACCUCAGAGCCUCUUCAUCCCCAGUGCCAGCGCUGGGCUGGGUGUGCAAAGGAGAAGUCUCUGCAAUCCAUCCUGCCACCGAUGCUGCCUGGAAUGCCCUCAUUAUAUGUGAGAAGCAUGGCUCACUAUUUAAAUCUUUUAUGGAUGUUUAUUAAAGGAUAAAAUCCAGCACUGGGGUGCUUUGCUAUUUUCCAAAAGCCCGGGUUAGCUUUAACUAUGUUCUCUAUAUACUGUUACAUUAUAUGGCUACAUGCAUAUUCAAAGGACUUUAUACAUAUUCAUACAUUCCUUUGUGUUUCCAUAUUCUUUUCUUUGGUUUUAACCUUUGACUUGUCCUCCUACAAUCUUCUCAACUAAACUAAUAUAUUUUAUUUUUUUUUGUGGUUCUAUCUUGUUCUGUUUUCACUCGCUGAUAACAAGGCCCCAUAAAUUCUUUAUAUAUAUAUAUAUAUAUAUCAGAAGCAGUAAUUGUAAAUUGUACUAUAUCAGGAUUUUAGUGAUCUAUAAGAACUUGCAAAACAAAGGUUAAUACAUAAAUGCCAACAUCUAAAUUUGUUAUUUUUUAAGGAUCUGUUAUAAAAUAACUGUUAUCUCUUGAGUAACUGUUUGUAAUAAUUAUUUGUUAUUACAUUCUCCAGCAAGCUCAGUUGGGAAAUCCAAAUUGCCCUGGGCUCUUGGAAAUCAUCAUGAACUGGCCUGAAGGUGAGACUGGACUGUCCUUGGAAAAUGUGAAAAACGACCCUCACUCUUAAAUUCUUAAAGCUUUAUUAAACCUUAAGAAAAAAAAUACAACAACAGGCUGAAUAAGGAAAAAUUACCGUGCUGAGGGUCUCUGGGACUGUCAGCCACGUGCUUGUUUACAAAAUGGAUGCUCUGCCUUUUACCCUGAGCCCCUCCCACAGUUUUGUCAGUCAGCUCCUUCUCUGUCAUCCACUGGUGGACAUCACUUCCUUACACCUUGAAUGGAGCUCAGGUGUUGUCCUGUGGCCCCUCCUGGUAAUGAGCCAGCCCUCCCCAAAUGCCCUGACUACUGAGGCUGCUACAAGGGGGAGAGAAAGGGGACUGUAGGAGGACAUAUUACAGAACCAGCACUCUACAUGUACAAAACUUCUCCUAACAUACACAUGAUAUCUAUCUCUUAAUUGUGAGAGCUAAUCAUCACAUCAUUCAUCUAUAAAAAAACCCUCUUUUCCGUUCCUAUGAGUCAUUAGUCUCAAACAAGUAACUUUCAUUUUUGAUUCUCAUAAUCUGCUCUUCUCAGAAAAUUUUUGUAAUUAAUGAUACUAGCAUCUGUUGAUGAGGGUGAGGACAGUGAGAACAGAAGGAAAAAAAUUCAGGCUUUCUUUAGACAGACUUAUUUGGAAUGGAGAAAAUGGGAUCACAGAUGUCUGGUAUGGCUUUUUGACCCCCAUCUACCUUGCCUAUGGGGUUGCUAUUCAUAGCAGGUGUAUCUUACUGGUGAGUACAGAGGCCAACUCAGUCUUGCCUUCUGGUUCCUGUUGCAUUAAAAGACAGCUGAGGAAUGAUAGAGGUCUGGGGUCGGCCUUUCCUUCCGUCCCACCCCCCCCCCCCCCGCCCCCCUUACCAUGCCUCUGGGCUUGCUGCCUGCAGCAAGCUAUAGAAUCUUCUUGGUGUGUAGCAGUGUGACGUCAUAGUUUGUCUCAGGUAUCCCUGUCCUUUCCCAGGUGUCAAUCACCUUUCCUCUCCCCACCCUGAAACCUGCUGGGUUGCUGUCUGUCAAUCCUGGCAUUCCAGAAGAGUGGCAAGUGAUUGGCAGAGUUCAAAAGAUGCCCUGCAUCACUGGGGGGCCAUUGGCCCACCCAAGUGUCCAUUGCACCUGAGACCUGCCCACCCUGCACCUGGUUGGUGAGAUCCCUACACCUUUCCUCCCCCUCUCCUUGGGCUUAAAAGAGCCAGCAACCGUGCAGUUCGGGAUUCUGUUAGUAGUUGUUAUGGGAUUCAGAAGCGUGCCAUCUGAAUAAACUCUGGAUCGAAACUCUCUGGCA
ensembl:lncRNA